GACGUAGGGCGCAAGCGUUGUCCGGAUUUAUUGGGCGUAAAGAGCUCGUAGGCGGCCUGUCGCGUCGACCGUGAAAACCCGCAGCUCAACUGCGGGCUUGCGGUCGAUACGGGCAGGCUGGAGUUCGGUAGGGGAGACUGGAAUUCCUGGUGUAGCGGUGAAAUGCGCAGAUAUCAGGAGGAACACCGGUGGCGAAGGCGGGUCUCUGGGCCAUUACUGACGCUGAGGAGCGAAAGCGUGGGGAGCGAACAGG
rnacentral:rRNA from 1 species